rnacentral:tRNA from 1 species
GGGCAGUUAGUCCAAUCAAGACAGUUGAUUUCGGCUCAACAAAUUAUGGUUAAACUCCAUAACUGCCCU